CCCUCCAGAUGUUUGGGACUACAAUUCCCAUCAUCCCUAGCAAACAGGGCCAAUGGUGAGAGAUGAGGGGAAUUGUAGUCCCAAACAUCUGGAGGG